GACGAACGCUGGCGGCGUGCUUAACACAUGCAAGGCGAACGGAAAGGCCCUGCUUUUGUGGGGUGCUCGAGUGGCGAACGGGUGAGUAACACGUGAGUAACCUGCCCUUGACUUUGGGAUAACUUCAGGAAACUGGGGCUAAUACCGGAUAGGAGCUCCUGCUGCAUGGUGGGGGUUGGAAAGUUUCGGCGGUUGGGGAUGGGCUCGCGGCUUAUCAGCUUGUUGGUGGGGUAGUGGCUUACCAAGGCUUUGACGGGUAGCCGGCCUGAGAGGGUGACCGGCCACAUUGGGACUGAGAUACGGCCCAGACUCCUACGGGAGGCAGCAGUGGGGAAUAUUGCACAAUGGGCGGAAGCCUGAUGCAGCAACGCCGCGUGCGGGAUGACGGCCUUCGGGUUGUAAACCGCUUUCGCCUGUGACGAAGCGUGAGUGACGGUAAUGGGUAAAGAAGCACCGGCUAACUACGUG
rnacentral:rRNA from 1 species